rnacentral:rRNA from 1 species
AGGUGCUAAUACCGCAUAACCAUCAAAACCGCCUGGUUUUGAUGUUAAAGAUGGUUCUGCUAUCCCUUUAAGAUGGACCCGCGGCGUAUUAGCUAGUUGGUGAGGUAACGGCUUACCAAGGCAAUGAUACGUAGCCGAACUGAGAGGUUGAUCGGCCACAUUGGGACUGAGACACGGCCCAAACUCCUACGGGAGGCAGCAGUAGGGAAUCUUCCACAAUGGACGAAAGUCUGAUGGAGCAACGCCGCGUGAGUGAAGAAGGUUUUCGGAUCGUAAAACUCUGUUGUCAGAGAAGAACGUGUGUGAGAGUAACUGUUCACGCAGUGACGGUAUCUGACCAGAAAGUCACGGCUAACUACGUGCCAGCAGCCGCGGUAAUACGUAGGUGGCAAGCGUUGUCCGGAUUUAUUGGGCGUAAAGGGAACGCAGGCGGUCUUUUAAGUCUGAUGUGAAAGCCUUCGGCUUAACCGAAGUCGGGCAUUGGAAACUGGGAGACUUGAGUGCAGAAGAGGAGAGUGGAACUCCAUGUGUAGCGGUGAAAUGCGUAGAUAUAUGGAAGAACACCAGUGGCGAAAGCGGCUCUCUGGUCUGUAACUGACGCUGAGGUUCGAAAGCGUGGGUAGCAAACAGGAUUAGAUACCCUGGUAGUCCACGCCGUAAACGAUGAAUGCUAAGUGUUGGAGGGUUUCCGCCCUUCAG